rnacentral:rRNA from 1 species
GACGAACGCUGGCGGCGUGCUUAACACAUGCAAGUCGUACGGUAAGGCCCUUUCGGGGGUCCACGAGUGGCGCACGGGUGCGUAACACGUGAGUAACCUGCCCACAACUUUGGGAUAACGCUAGGAAACUGGUGCUAGUACUGGAUAUGUGCUCCUGCUGCAUGGUGGGGGUUGGAAAGCUCCGGCGGUUGUGGAUGGACUCGCGGCCUAUCAGCUUGUUGGUGGGGUAGUGGCCUACCAAGGCGGCGACGGGUAGCCGGCCUGAGAGGGUGACCGGCCACAUUGGGACUGAGAUACGGCCCAGACUCCUACGGGAGGCAGCAGUGGGGAAUAUUGCACAAUGGGCGCAAGCCUGAUGCAGCAACGCCGCGUGCGGGAUGACGGCCUUCGGGUUGUAAACCGCUUUCAGCAGGGACGAAGCUUUUUGUGACGGUACCUGCAGAAGAAGCACCGGCUAACUACGUG